rnacentral:rRNA from 1 species
UAGGGAAUCUUCCGCAAUGGACGCAAGUCUGACGGAGCAACGCCGCGUGAGUGAAGAAGGAUUUCGGUUCGUAAAACUCUGUUGUUAGAGAAGAACAGCGCAUAGAGUAACUGUUAUGCGUGUGACGGUAUCUAACCAGAAAGCCACGGCUAACUACGUGCCAGCAGCCGCGGUAAUACGUAGGUGGCAAGCGUUGUCCGGAUUUAUUGGGCGUAAAGCGAGCGCAGGCGGUCAAUUAAGUCUGAUGUGAAAGCUCCCGGCUCAACCGGGGAGGGUCAUUGGAAACUGGUUGACUUGAGUGCAGAAGAGGAGAGUGGAAUUCCAUGUGUAACGGUGAAAUGCGUAGAUAUAUGGAGGAACACCAGUGGCGAAGGCGACUCUCUGGUCUGUAACUGACGCUGAGGCUCGAAAGCGUGGGUAGCAAACAGG